GAUGAACGCUGGCGGCGUGCCUAAUACAUGCAAGUCGAGCGAACAGACGAGGAUCUUGCUCCUCUCACGUUAGCGGCGGACGGGUGAGUAACACGUGUAUAACCUACCUAUAAGACUGGUAUAACUUCGGGAAACCGGAGCUAAUACCGUAGAAUAUAUUGAACCGCAUGGUUCAAUAGUAAAAUACGGUUGUUUUGUCACGUAUAGAUGGAUCCGCGCCGCAUUAGCUAGUUGGUGAGGUAACGGCGUACCAAGGCAACGAUGCGUAGGCGACGGGAGAGGGUGAUCGGCCACCUUGGAGCGGAGCCAGGGUCCAGGCGACUAAGGGAGGCAGCAGUAGGGAACGUGCCGCAGUGGGGGAAAGCCUGACGGAGCAACGCGGCGUGAGUGAUGAAGGUCUUCGGAUCGUAAAGCUGUGUUACUAGGGAAGAACAAAUGUGUACGUAAAUAUGCACGUAUUGACGGUAACUAAUAAGAAAGCAACGGCUAGCUACGUG
rnacentral:rRNA from 1 species